AUGUACCACGCUUACACUGCGGUUCCUUCGUGCCGUCCGCACCCACAUGGCGACUGCUCGCUACGGUUUGUUGGCU
rnacentral:sRNA from 1 species